rnacentral:rRNA from 1 species
UAGUUGGUAGGGUAACGGCCUACCAAGGCAAUGAUGCAUAGCCGAGUUGAGAGACUGAUCGGCCACAUUGGGACUGAGACACGGCCCAAACUCCUACGGGAGGCAGCAGUAGGGAAUCUUCCACAAUGGACGAAAGUCUGAUGGAGCAACGCCGCGUGAGUGAAGAAGGUUUUCGGAUCGUAAAGCUCUGUUGUUGGUGAAGAAGGAUAGAGGUAGUAACUGGCCUUUAUUUGACGGUAAUCAACCAGAAAGUCACGGCUAACUACGUGCCAGCAGCCGCGGUAAUACGUAGGUGGCAAGCGUUGUCCGGAUUUAUUGGGCGUAAAGCGAGCGCAGGCGGAAGAAUAAGUCUGAUGUGAAAGCCCUCGGCUUAACCGAGGAACUGCAUCGGAAACUGUUUUUCUUGAGUGCAGAAGAGGAGAGUGGAACUCCAUGUGUAGCGGUGGAAUGCGUAGAUAUAUGGAAGAACACCAGUGGCGAAGGCGGCUCUCUGGUCUGCAACUGACGCUGAGGCUCGAAAGCAUGGGUAGCGAACAGGAUUAGAUACCCUGGUAGUCCAUGCCGUAAACGAUGAGUGCUAAGUGUUGGGAGGUUUCCGCCUCUCAGUGCUGCAGCUAACGCAUUAAGCACUCCGCCUGGGGAGUACGACCGCAAGGUUGAAACUCAAAGGAAUUGACGGGGGCCCGCACAAGCGGUGGAGCAUGUGGUUUAAUUCGAAGCAACGCGAAGAACCUUACCAGGUCUUGACAUCUAGUGCAAUCCGUAGAGAUACGGAGUUCCCUUCGGGGACACUAAGACAGGUGGUGCAUGGCUGUCGUCAGCUCGUGUCGUGAGAUGUUGGGUUAAGUCCCGCAACGAGCGCAACCCUUGUCAUUAGUUGCCAGCAUUAAGUUGGGCACUCUAAUGAGACUGCCGGUGACAAACCGGAGGAAGGUGGGGAUGACGUCAAGUCAUCAUGCCCCUUAUGACCUGGGCUACACACGUGCUACAAUGGACAGUACAACGAGGAGC